rnacentral:rRNA from 1 species
GAUGAACGCUGGCGGCGUGCUUAACACAUGCAAGUCGAACGUGAAGGAAUUUGCUUCGGUAGAUUCUGGAAAGUGGCGAACGGGUGAGUAACACGUAGAUGACCUGCCCUGGAGUGGGGGACAACCAUUGGAAACGAUGGCUAAUACCCUAUAGUCCUAUUGGUAUUGGAAGCUGAUAGGUAAAACUCAGGUGCUCUGGGAGGGGUCUGCGUCCGAUUAGCUUGUUGGUGGGGUAAUGGCCUACCAAGGCUGCAAUCGGUAGCUGGUCUGAGAGGAUGAUCAGUCACACGGGAACUGAGACACGGUCCCGACUCCUACGGGGGGCAGCAGUGAGGAAUAUUGCACAAUGGGGGCAACCCUGAUGCAGCAACGCCGCGUGGAGGAUGAAGGCUUUUUGUCGUAAACUCCUUUUACGAGGGAAGAGUAAGGACGGUACCUCGGGAAUAAGUCACGGCUAACUACG